AGAGUUUGAUCCUGGCUCAGAACGAACGCUGGCGGCAGGCUUAACACAUGCAAGUUGAACGGGAUUUGUAUGGUGCUUGCACCAUGUAAUGAGAGUAGCGCACUGGUGAGUAACACGUGGGAACAUACCUUGAAGUGGGGGACAACAGUUGGAAACGACUGCUAAUACCGCAUAAUCCCUGAGGGGGAAAGAUUUAUCGCUUUAAGAUUGGCCCGCGGAAGAUUAGGUAGUUGGUGGGGUAAAGGCCUACCAAGCCGACGAUCUAUAGCUGGUCUGAGAGGACGAACAGCCACAUUGGAACUGAGACACGGUCCAGACUCCUACGGGAGGCAGCAGUGAGGAAUAUUGGGCAAUGGAGGAAACUCUGACCCAGCCAUGCCGCGUGAGUGAAGAAGGUUUUCGAAUUGUAAAGCUCUUUCGGAUGGGACGAUGAUGACGGUACCAUCUAAAGAAGCCCCGGCAAACUUCGUGCCAGCAGCCGCGGUAAUACGAAGGGGGCAAGCGUUGUUCGGAAUUACUGGGCGUAAAGGGUGUGUAGGCGGAUUUGUAAGAUAGUGGUGAAAUACCUGAGCUCAACUUAGGAAUUGCCAUUAUAACUAUAGAUCUGGAGUGACAGAGAGGAUAUUGGAAUACCCAGUGUAGAGGUGAAAUUCGUAGAUAUUGGGUAGAACACCAGUGGCGAAGGCGAGUAUCUGGCUGUCAACUGACGCUGAGGCACGAAAGCAUGGGGAUCAAACAGGAUUAGAUACCCUGGUAGUCCAUGCUGUAAACGAUGAAUGCUAGUUGUCGGCAAAAGCCGGUGACGCAGUUAACGCGAUAAGCAUUCCGCCUGGGGAGUACGGUCGCAAGAUUGAAACUCAAAGGAAUUGACGGGGACCCGCACAAGCGGUGGAGCAUGUGGUUUAAUUCGAUGCAACGCGAAGAACCUUACCAACUCUUGACAUCCUCAUCGGGGCUUUCAGAGAUGAGAGCUUUCAGUUAGGCUGGAUGAGUGACAGAUGCUGCAUGGCUGUCGUCAGCUCGUGUCGUGAGAU
rnacentral:rRNA from 1 species